rnacentral:lncRNA from 1 species
CUGAAAAUACAGAGAAUAACAAUUUAAAGAGGAUACUAAGCAAGGUAUUCAUCUUCAGUGUUGAUUGUUAAGGGAAUACUAAAUACAAGAUGAAGACCUUGAGGACAUUGACAUAUGAAGUGAUUUAGUCUUGAAGACAUUAUCUUCAUCCUGACUUUGGUUUGAGAAACAGAAGUGAAAAGGACAGCUUGCUGUCAGAGGUCUCUGCUGGUGACUGAUGUCCC